CAAACACAGCUAGAUGCCUAUCAUUUCAAGCGGGGGUUACGGGCGCAACUCUUACCCUAACCCCUUUCCUAAGACCAUUGGCAGGACCACAAACAAACUACAACAGAUCGCAUAAAAGAACAAGGAGCAGUGUUGAGAGGGGCAUUGACCAAUUCAAACGCAGAUUUCCUGUUCUUCAUGGGGAAAUCAGGUUAAAACCUGAGAAGGCUUGCAAGG